rnacentral:rRNA from 1 species
GACGAACGCUGGCGGCGUGCCUAAUACAUGCAAGUCGAACGCAGUGGGGACGGGUGAUUAACACGUGGGUAACCUCCCAUCAGAGGGGAUAACACUUGGAAACAGGUGCUAAACCCAUACCGAAGGAUGAACCCGCGGGGCAUUCGCUAGUUGGUGAGGUAACGGCUCACCAAGGCCACGAUUGACAGCCGACCGGAUAGGGUGAUCGGCCACACUGGUACUGAGAAACGGCCCAGACUCCUACGGGAGGCAGCAGUAGGGAAGCUUCGGAAAUGGACGAAAGUUUGACCGAGCAACGCCGCGUGAGGGAAGAAGGUUUUCGGAUCGUAAAACUCUGUUGUUAGAGAAGCGGUAUCUAACCAGAAAGCCACGGCUAACGACGUGCCAGCAGCCGCGGUAAUUC